ACGAGGUCCGUCAAUAUCCGCCGGCGGUUUCCGCGGAGGUCACUUACGAUCCUUCCGAGUUCAAAGGCGAUAGAGACGGCGGCUUUCAGGUCUUGGCUAAGUACAUAGGCGUCUUCGGCAAACCGGAGAACCAGAAGAUCGCCAUGACGGCGCCGGUGGUCACGACGGAGGGGGAGAAGAUCGCCAUGACGUCACCGGUGAUCACCAAGGAAGGUGAGAAGAUAGCCAUGACGUCACCUGUGAUCACCAAGAAGGGUGAGAAGAUUGAGAUGACGUCACCGGUGAUCACUAAGGAAGGUGAGAAGAUCGCCAUGACGUCACCGGUGAUCACUAAGGAGGGUGAGAAGAUUGAGAUGACGUCACCGGUGAUCACUAAGAAAGGGGAGAAGAUUGCUAUGACGUCACCGGUGGUGACGAAGGAAGGAGGAGGAGGGGAGAGGAAGAAGAAGACGGUGACGAUGCAGUUCUUGUUGCCGGAGAAGUACAAGAGGGCGGAGGAUGCGCCGCGUC
rnacentral:lncRNA from 1 species